rnacentral:tRNA from 1 species
GGUUCGGUGGUCUAGGGGUAUGAUUCUCGCUUAGGGUGCGAGAGGUCCCGGGUUCAAAUCCCGGCCGGAACCCA